CUGCUACUGAAGAGUCCUAAACUAGGACGAAACAGCUGUGCGGUAC
rnacentral:hammerhead_ribozyme from 1 species